AACCCAUGGUUAGCGCACUGUCUCAAUAAGUUCUUAUACCUCUCCCAUGCAUCAUAUAGGGUUUCUAAGUCAAUCUGACCGAAGGAAGAGAUAUCAUUCCUCAACUU
rnacentral:snoRNA from 1 species